rnacentral:rRNA from 1 species
CCUACGGGAGGCAGCAGUGAGGAAUAUUGGUCAAUGGGCGGGAGCCUGAACCAGCCAAGUCGCGUGAGGGACGACGGUCCUAUGGAUUGUAAACCUCUUUUGUCGGGGAACAAAGGCGCCCACGGGUGCGCUGUUGAGUGUACCCUAUGAAAAAGCAUCGGCUAACUCCGUGCCAGCAGCCGCGGUAAUACGGAGGAUGCGAGCGUUAUCCGGAUUUAUUGGGUUUAAAGGGUGCGUAGGCGGACAGUCAAGUCAGCGGUAAAAGUGCGGUGCUCAACGCCGAACAGCCGUUGAAUCUGGCAGUCUGGAGUGGGCGAGAAGUAUGCGGAAUGCGUGGUGUAGCGGUGAAAUGCAUAGAUAUCACGCAGAACUCCGAUUGCGAAGGCAGCAUACCGGAGGGGAUCUGACGCUGAGGCACGAAAGCGUGGGUAUCGAACAGGAUUAGAUACCCGUGUAGUC